GACGAACGCUGGCGGCGUGCUUAACACAUGCAAGUCGAACGGAAAGGCCCUGCUUUUGUGGGGUGCUCGAGUGGCGAACGGGUGAGUAACACGUGAGUAACCUGCCCUUGACUUUGGGAUAACUUCAGGAAACUGGGGCUAAUACCGGAUAGGAGCUCCUGCUGCAUGGUGGGGGUUGGAAAGUUUCGGCGGUUGGGGAUGGACGCGCGGCUUAUCAGCUUGUUGGUGGGGUAGUGGCUUACCAAGGCUUUGACGGGUAGCCGGCCUGAGAGGGUGACCGGCCACAUUGGGACUGAGAUACGGCCCAGACUCCUACGGGAGGCAGCAGUGGGGAAUAUUGCACAAUGGGCGGAAGCCUGAUGCAGCAACGCCGCGUGCGGGAUGACGGCCUUCGGGUUGUAACCCGCUUUCGCCUGUGACGAAGCGUGAGUGACGGUAAUGGGUAAAGAAGCACCGGCUAACUACGUG
rnacentral:rRNA from 1 species